rnacentral:misc_RNA from 1 species
AACCAUAGAAACCUGCGGAGUACCUGCGGAGGGAUCAUUACCGAGUUUACAAACUCCCAACCCUAUGUGAACCUUACCAAUCGUUGCUUCGGCGGGCUUAGCCCCCGCGCCCUCGCCGGCGCCGGGAGAAAGGCGCCCGCCGGGGACCCCAAACCCAAUGUUUUUCAUGCAGUAUUUCUGAGUGGCAAACGCAAAAAUAAAUCAAAACUUUCAGCAAUGGAUCUCAGAUCGGAAGAGCAC